rnacentral:rRNA from 1 species
UUCCAGACUCCUACGGGAGGCAGCAGUGAGGAAUAUUGGUCAAUGGGCGUAAGCCUGAACCAGCCAAGUCGCGUGAGGGAUGAAGGAUCUAUGGUUCGUAAACCUCUUUUAUAAGGGAAUAAAGUGCGGGACGCGUCCCGCUUCGCAUGUACCUUAUGAAUAAGGAUCGGCUAACUCCGUGCCAGCAGCCGCGGUAAUACGGAGGAUCCGAGCGUUAUCCGGAUUUAUUGGGUUUAAAGGGUGCGUAGGCGGCCUUUUAAGUCAGCGGUGAAAGUCUGUGGCUCAACCAUAGAAUUGCCGUUGAAACUGGGGGGCUUGAGUAUGUUUGAGGCAGGCGGAAUGCGUGGUGUAGCGGUGAAAUGCUUAGAUAUCACGAAGAACUCCGAUUGCGAAGGCAGCCUACUAAACUGCCACUGACAUUGAUGCUCGAAAGUGUGGGUAUCAAACAGGAUUAGAUACCCGCGUAGG